rnacentral:sRNA from 1 species
UUUUUUGUUAGAAAAUACAAAGCCAAAGACUCAUACGGACUUCAGCUACACUAUCAAAGCUUUGAGAAGCAAUAAGAAGCUUGGUUAGUGUUUUGGAGUCAAAUAUGACUAGAUGUCAUGUGUAUGAUUGAGUAUAAGAACAAGAACCGCAACCGGUUCCCAAAAGCUAACGUAGUGU